GCAAGACGGGCCGCUUCCCGCCCUCGAGCCCCGCCCAUUUCCACGAGCCUUGAGCCCAGAGUCCCCGUCCCGCCCUCAGGCCCCACCCACAGCCUCGGGCCUGCGAGCCACACGAUCCCCAACCCCGCCUUCAGUCCCCGCCUCCUCCUCCAGCCUCGGAGCCCCAGUGUACCCGGCCCCGCCCUGCCGGCUGGGAGCCUCCCAGCCGCGAUCCUCCGGGGCGGGACUUCCGGCCUCCCUGCUCCCACAAAAUGGUAGCCGCCGUGGGGGAUGUCCAGUUUUUUUUUCCUCUUCCCAAGUACAGACGCAGAGCGGGCUUGUCUUUCCGCUUAACCUCAACCUCGUGUGAUCUGCCAGUUUCGCUCCCGACCCCAAAUUCCAGCGAAACAGCUGAUGCCAGCCAGCUUGAAGACCCCUGCCACAGAAGAAGGGAAUCAGCAUGAGAAUACAGCUUCUUCAUCUCCCUGUCCCAUGACUUCGCCCUGUACUCUUCAGCCAAUUAAUGAUCUCCACACUUGGGACCACUCCAAAACCCUUAAGAACCUGAGCCUCAAAGUCCUCCUGGAGACGAAUUUGAGGUUUCCUCCUAUCUGUGUUUGGUGGCCCUAUGAUUAAACCUCUUUCUCUUCUGCAA